AACGCACAUUGCGCCCGCCAGCAUUCUGGCGGGUAUGCCUGUUCGAGCGUCAUUUCAACCCUCAGGCCCUGCCUGGUGUUGGAGGACUGCGCACGCAGCCUCCCAAAGCAAGCGGCGGCGGCGCCCCAAAACCGAACGCAGUAGUUACUUCUCGUUCUGGGUCUGGGUCGUUGUCCUGCCGGAAAACCCCCAUCUUUUUAAUGGUUGACCUCGAAUCAGGUAGGAAUACCCGCUGAACUUAA
rnacentral:misc_RNA from 1 species